AGUCUCAGUUGACCCCAGACCACCUUGUUCUUUUCUUCUUUUUCCCUUCCCCAAAUUGCCACCCUUUUGGAGUUGGUGUUCAUUCAUCCUUCUUGGGACUGUAAAUAUCUUUCCAAUCUGGCUAAAACUAAGGAUCAAUAAAGAGUCUUUUGGAAACAUUUAAAGAGCAUAGCUUCCCAAAUCAAAUAAGAGUCUAAUCUGAUAAAACACAGCUGAAAUGGAAACACUGCUUCCCACGCCUGUACAACCCACAAGCACAAGAAUUAACAACGAUAUGGGGCACCUGGGUGGCUCAUGCAUUCGGUUAAGUGUCCAACUUCGGCUCA